rnacentral:lncRNA from 1 species
CUCUGUGGUAAAGGGAGUACCAAUUUCCAUGACGGCCACCGAAUUAAGUUCUAUUCUUGGUAUUCCAUCUGGUGGUCAUAUGUUUAUUGGAACCAAAGCUCCGUGGGAAGAUUACAGUAAGCAUGCAUUUUAUUAUGGUUUAAGUAGAUUAUCUGAGCAUCAGUUCUAUAACAAAAGAAAGAAGAGUUCAGGAGGAGAUCUUC